rnacentral:rRNA from 1 species
GGGGCUAGCGUUGCUCGGAAUCACUGGGCGUAAAGCGCACGUAGGCGGAUCUUUAAGUCAGGGGUGAAAUCCCAAGGCUCAACCUUGGAACUGCCUUUGAUACUGGGGAUCUCGAGUCCGGAAGAGGUUGGUGGAACUGCGAGUGUAGAGGUGAAAUUCGUAGAUAUUCGCAAGAACACCAGUGGCGAAGGCGGCCAACUGGUCCGGUACUGACGCUGAGACGCGAAAGCGUGGGGAGCAAACAGG